rnacentral:rRNA from 1 species
ACUCGAGUGGCGAACGGGUGAGUAACACGUGGGUGAUCUGCCCCGCACUUCGGGAUAAGCCUGGGAAACUGGGUCUAAUACCGGAUAGGACGAUGGUUUGGAUGCCAUUGUGGAAAGUUUUCGGUGUGGGAUGAGCUCGCGGCCUAUCAGCUUGUUGGUGGGGUAAUGGCCUACCAAGGCGUCGACGGGUAGCCGGCCUGAGAGGGUGUACGGCCACAUUGGGACUGAGAUACGGCCCAG